AGACGGGAACACAGAUUGAAAUGCAUCUUGUCAGGAGAAAGUGGUAAUUACUCAGAGAACUUCAAUUCAACCAGAUCAGAGGCAUCACUAAAUGGUGCUGCUGCAAACCCUCUGAGAUUACAGUCUCUAAUAUUACACAGUGAUAAGAGGAGCAACAACCUUUACAGCACUUAAGAGGGAAGUGUUGAGGAUAUAGGCCAUCAUUACAAGGAAUUUUGGUGAUAUUUAAAGCCUUAAAAAAACACCAGGCUGAAGUUCCUUAAAUGUGGGUACUGAGCUGGAUUUCCCUAUGAAGUAAGUAAUCCCUUACUCUCCCUAUGAGGGCCAGAAAGUUGCCUAUGAGGCCUCUGUGAUGAAGCAUGGUCCAAGAUCAUUAAAUGGAGUUCAGUGUUUAAGCAGGUGCUGGCUGUGAUGAUAAAGUUGAUGAUAACAACAUGAUUGGGAUUAAACCUUAAGAUAUUAUUGC